UACAGAAAGUGCAGGCGUUAUUCGGAAUUACUGGGCGUUAAGGGUACGUAGGCGGCUGAAUAUAACUAAAUGGGAAAAGCUCAGGUAUAAGCUGAGAAGUCCAGAUACAGAUUAUUAAGCUCGAGUUUUUGCGGGGUUGGGAGAAUUAGCAAAGUAAUGGGGUUGAAUCCGACGAUAUUGCUCCGAAGACCGAAGGCGAAAGCACCUUUCUAGCAUUAACUGACGCUGAGGUACGAAAGGAUUGGUAGCAAAGCGG
rnacentral:rRNA from 1 species